rnacentral:sRNA from 1 species
GGGCCAGCCUCGACACCCUGUGGUUCUACUCCCCAAGAGACCAUCCCCAAGGGAGCUCAUGUCGUGGGGCCCUGAGCAAGCCCGCUCGCUGGCACUUUUUUUAUCGACCCUGGCCCCAUGGCAAGCGGCAUGCGCGCCCACGGUCGAUCACUCGCU